rnacentral:rRNA from 1 species
AACGAACGCUGGCGGCAGGCUUAACACAUGCAAGUCGAACGCAUGCCUUCGGGCAUGAGUGGCAGACGGGUGAGUAACGCGUGGGAACCUACCCCUUGGUACGGGAUAGCUCCGGGAAACUGGAGAUAAUACCGUAUGUGUCCUGAGGGACAAAGAUUCAUCGCCAAGGGAUGGGCCCGCGUCGGAUUAGCUAGUUGGUGGGGUAACGGCCUACCAAGGCGACGAUCCGUAGCUGGUCUAAGAGGAUGAUCAGCCACAUUGGGACUGAGACACGGCCCAAACUCCUACGGGAGGCAGCAGUGGGGAAUAUUGGACAAUGGGCGCAAGCCUGAUCCAGCCAUGCCGUGUGAGUGAUGAAGGCCCUAGGGUUGUAAAGCUCUUUCACCGGUGACGAUAAUGACGGUAACCGGAGAAGAAGCCCCGGCUAACUUCGUG